AUGACCUCCUCAUGUUUACUUCGAAAAUAUCGUCAAGCACAUUAACUCCCUACGUAGCCGAUAAUUGGAUCGAAUUCGCCAUUGGCAUCCAUCAUCGAACUAACCACCUUUCCCUUACCUUCUACCUCACUAUACCUUCCUCUAUGCCCUCGAUAAGCUUUUUGCCAAUGACAAUGACCUUGUAGCUACUUAAGUGAUCAUAGUCAAAGUUUGCCAUGGCCAUCUAUCUUCGACGUUGUCUAGACUCACUCCAUCCUCAAGAUUUUUAGCGAGCAUCUCG
rnacentral:lncRNA from 1 species